AUUUCUCAGCCCUUGACCACGACUCAUCUGGACUUGUCCUCAGCAAGCUUUAUAAGGAUUUGCUGCCGAGACUAGCUUUGGAACAGACUUCCCAUAGCAUGCAGAUGAUUUGUACCAUUGUACAGAUUUGUGAUCCAAGAAAAAUAGAAGUUCCAUAGGGAGAAAAUAAUAAAGAGAAGCACCAAAAGAAAUACCAGUUUCACACAGAUAAUGGGAGUCAGCUUGUGGUGGCCAACAAGGCUACAAGAGUUGGUGGCAGAAAAAGAAAUGAUAAUACUAGCAACUGUGCAGAAUUGUGACUUCGGAGGAACUAAAAAACAGCUGCAGUGCUAAACAACAGCCAAAGUUUGGAGCACCACUGGGCACACAGAAAUGAGGAUGGAGUGGUGAGUGAGAAGAAUCUUCGUAGGCUUCCAAGCAAUCAGUUUUCACGAGUGUCAAAGAGUUGCAAAUAUCUAUUUUCAGGCAAACUUUGUCUUACUGAGAUUGAUAAAAUAGUCUUUUGGUAGCUCUGCAAAAAAUUAAUAAUACUCUAUUAUUUCUUAGCUCAUCAAAAGAGUUCUCAUGUUUCUCAGCCAGUUCCAUUUUUGUCAUGAACAAAUGGCUUUUUCUCUAACAUAAGAAUAUACAUAUAUGAAUGAAUCUAUAUGACUACAUGAAUUAGCAACAGAGUACCUCAUAUUUACUAUUCCUUCAUGAAUGGAAGAAUUUAGAUUCCCUUUAGUGAAAAAUAUUUUUGAAAUAGAAAUAUUUAGCAGAUGGUUUCAACCAAAUCCAGGAACUUCUCACUUUUCUUUGUAAGACACUAAAACAACAUAAUGCUGAAACCAUUGUUUCCUUUGUAUUGUCCAUGACUCACUUGACCUAGGAUGGUUAAAGUACAUCUGAAUGAGAGCUUAAACAAGUAGUUCAACUCAAUUAUGCAGAGAGUAAGCUUAGGCAAAUGUUUUAUAACAUAGCAUCAUAUACUGAUAGCACUGAAUUCUGAAUUUUGAUGCUACUACAUUUUCUGGCAGAUAAAUUUUGGGUUUUGAUUAUUUUUUUUCCUUUGUUCCAUCAUGUUUGUUUGUUUGUUUUUUUGGAAGCACUUUCUGUUUUGUUGUUGUUGUUUUGUUAGGUUGCUUUAAAGUAAGUAGUUUCCAAUUCUUCAUUUUUAUUGCUUUUCUUUAAAGUCUCUUAUUUAUUUAUUUAUUUAUUUAUUUAUUUAUUUCUUAAUUAUUCCUACACUCCUAUUUGAAGCACAAAAGGGUUUUCCAUGAUUAUGAUCUGUAUGUCUCUACUCACAAGCUUCUGACUGCAAGUCAUCCUUUGCUACAACUGUUGAAAUUAGUUGUAUAGCUUUCUUGAUGUGAAUUCUCAUGCAAAAUACGGAAUGGGACUAUCUACCAAAUUGAUCAACUUAUAUAUAUUUUUUUUCCUUGUCUCCUGUCUUUACAGCUUUUCCGUCUCUGUAUAGU